AGAAUACAAACAUUACAAAAAACUAUAAUUUGGAGAGAAAAUUUUGUUCUAUUGAAAUUCUUCUCUGAUUCAUAAAGUUCUCAACCUCUGAAGCACUUGUGAAUGACUUGGAGCUUGAAAUAUGGUUUGAAUUAGAAAAAGGGGCUAAAAACCCAAAAAUCAAAUGGCUGACUGUUUCUUUUAAUAUUUCAUUGAUCGCUAUGAUAAUCUGAUCACUGUUCGAUCUCUGAAUAACAUUUUGGGGUCUGAAAUAGAAUGAAAUCGAGUGUGUAAAAACUGGUUUAAAGUUUGCUCGUUUGACAAUCAUUUGAAUUGAUUACUCUGGGCUAUCAAGCAUCACCGCUAGGUUUAAAGUCUUUCUUGCUAGCUGUGUUGUUGCUGAUUCUCACUGUUUCCUACUGCUGAUUCUUUGCCCCUGUUUUAUUUCCUAUUUCUAGGUAUACUACGAUCCUCGGAGAUUACAUUUAAACAUGUAAAUUGAAGCAUGAUCUGAGAAGGAAAUAAACAUGGCACUAUUUAUGGAUUUCACUUGUUUUAUGCUAUACUUGUAAAGCAUGAAUUUAUGUAUUCUCCAAAGGAGAAUAUUGUUAGUUUGAUCCUGUUAGGUUGUGUAGUAAUUUCUUUCUGAUUUGGGCCUGUUUUGGUCCGUCUGUUAAAAGUGAAGUGAAGUUCUAGGUACAUAUGCAUGUUUAGAGAUUUUGGGUGAUUGUAAGAACUGUGGGAAUUAGGUGGUUGAGUGACUCCUUCAAUUCAAUAAUAUGCUAAUCAAGUAAAUUAGUUAUGGGUUCAUGUAUAACUUUCACCGAGGAAUUCCUAAAAUUCUGGAUUGUGGUUGUGAUUAAGGGAAAUGUGAUCAUAUAGUUUAUUGAUUCAUUAAUGUUCUAACAUUCAAGGAGCGGAUAAACAGUUAGUGGAAAUGUUGGAUCGAUUUGGUGUGAAAUUUGACACUGCUCACUUCUCUUAAUCUAGAUAAAAUGGUUCAACCAUGAAUGUGUUUUUUUUAGCCUCAAGUUUCAAUAACAG
rnacentral:lncRNA from 1 species